UGCCAGCCGCCGCGGUAAUACGUAAGGUGCAAGCAUUAUCCGGAAUUAUUGGGCGUAAAGCGUCCGCAGGCGGUUUGACAAGUCAGUUAUUAAAUACCGGAGCUCAACUUCGGUGCUGUAACCGAAACUGUUAAACUAGAAGGUAGGAGGGGUGUGUAGAAUGCUACAAGUAGGGGUAAAAUCCGUAGAUAUGUAGUGGAAUACCAAAAGCGAAGGCAGCACACUGGACUAUUCUUGACGCUCAGGGACGAAAGCGUAGGUAGCAAAACGGAUUAGAUA
rnacentral:rRNA from 1 species